rnacentral:rRNA from 1 species
GAUGAACGCUGGCGGCGUGCUUAACACAUGCAAGUCGAACGGAAAGGCUCCUGCUUGCAGGGGUACUCGAGUGGCGAACGGGUGAGUAACACGUGGGUGAUCUGCCCUGCACUUCGGGAUAAGCCUGGGAAACUGGGUCUAAUACCGGAUAGGACGAUGGUUUGGAUGCCAUUGUGGAAAGUUUUUCGGUGUGGGAUGAGCUCGCGGCCUAUCAGCUUGUUGGUGGGGUAAUGGCCUACCAAGGCGUCGACGGGUAGCCGGCCUGAGAGGGUGUACGGCCACAUUGGGACUGAGAUACGGCCCAGACUCCUACGGGAGGCAGCAGUGGGGAAUAUUGCACAAUGGGCGCAAGCCUGAUGCAGCGACGCCGCGUGGGGGAUGACGGCCUUUGGGUUGUAAACUCCUUUCGCUAGGGACGAAGCGCAAGUGACGGUACCUGGAGAAGAAGCACCGGCUAACUACGUG